GUGGGGAAUAUUGGACAAUGGGCGAAAGCCUGAUCCAGUCAUGCCGCGUGUGUGAAGAAGGUCUUCGGAUUGUAAAGCACUUUAAGUUGGGAGGAAGGGCAGUAAGUUAAUACCUUGCUGUUUUGACGUUACCAACAGAAUAAGCACCGGCUAACUUCGUGCCAGCAGCCGCGGUAAUACGAAGGGUGCAAGCGUUAAUCGGAAUUACUGGGCGUAAAGCGCGCGUAGGUGGUUCAGCAAGUUGGAGGUGAAAUCCCCGGGCUCAACCUGGGAACUGCCUCCAAAACUACUGAGCUAGAGUACGGUAGAGGGUAGUGGAAUUUCCUGUGUAGCGGUGAAAUGCGUAGAUAUAGGAAGGAACACCAGUGGCGAAGGCGACUACCUGGACUGAUACUGACACUGAGGUGCGAAAGCGUGGGGAGCAAACAGGAUUAGAUACCCUAGUAGUCC
rnacentral:rRNA from 1 species